rnacentral:rRNA from 1 species
CCUACGGGAGGCAGCAGUGAGGGAUAUUGCACAAUGGAGGAAACCCUGAUGCAGCGACGCCGCGUGUGGGAUGACGGUCCUCUGGAUUGUAAACUACUAUCCCCAGGGACGAAAAUGACGGUACCUGGGGCCGCAGCUCCGGCUAACUCCGUGCCAGCAGCCGCGGUACUACGUAGGGAGGGAGCGUUGUCCGGAAUGACUGGGGGGAAAGGGAGAGUAGGCGGGAUUGCAAGUUGGGGGUAAAAUCUACCGGCUCAACGGGUAGCCGCCGUCAAAACUGCAGGUCUGGAGUGAAGUAGAGGCAGGCGGAAUUCAUAGUGUAGCGGUGAAAUGCGUAGAUAUUAUGAGGAACACCAGUGGCGAAGGCGGGUGGCUGGGCUGUGACUGACGCUGAGGCUCGAAAGUGUGGGGAGCAAACAGGAUUAGAUACCCCGGUAGUC